UGGCUCAGGAUGACGCUAGCGACAGGCCUAACACAUGCAAGUCGAGGGGCAUCGGGGCGAGGAGCAAUCCUUGCCGCCGGCGACCGGCGCACGGGUGAGUAACGCGUAUGCGACCUGCCCGUUGCAGGGGGAUAAUCGGGAGAAAUCCCGUCUAAUACCGCGUAAUGCCGCGGGGCUGCAUGGCCCUGCGGCCAAAGGGAGCGAUUCCGGCAACGGAUGGGCAUGCGUGACAUUAGCUAGUUGGCGGGGCAACGGCCCACCAAGGCGACGAUGUCUAGGGGUUCUGAGAGGAAGGUCCCCCACACUGGUACUGAGACACGGACCAGACUCCUACGGGAGGCAGCAGUGAGGAAUAUUGGUCAAUGGGCGCGAGCCUGAACCAGCCAAGUCGCGUGAGGGAUGACGGCCCUACGGGUUGUAAACCUCUUUUGUCGGGGAGCAAAUUCCGCCACGUGUGGCGGAGUCGAGAGUACCCGAAGAAAAAGCAUCGGCUAACUCCGUGCCAGCAGCCGCGGUAAUACGGAGGAUGCGAGCGUUAUCCGGAUUUAUUGGGUUUAAAGGGUGCGUAGGCGGACUGUCAAGUCAGCGGUAAAAUACGGGGGCUCAACCUCCGCCCGCCGUUGAAACUGACGGUCUUGAGUGGGCGAGAAGUAUGCGGAAUGCGUGGUGUAGCGGUGAAAUGCAUAGAUAUCACGCAGAACUCCGAUUGCGAAGGCAGCAUACCGGCGCCCGACUGACGCUGAAGCACGAAAGCGUGGGUAUCGAACAGGAUUAGAUACCCUGGUAGUCCACGCAGUAAACGAUGAAUACUAGCUGUCCGGGGCGAAUGAGCCCUGGGUGGCACAGCGAAAGCGUUAAGUAUUCCACCUGGGGAGUACGCCGGCAACGGUGAAACUCAAAGGAAUUGACGGGGGCCCGCACAAGCGGAGGAACAUGUGGUUUAAUUCGAUGAUACGCGAGGAACCUUACCCGGGCUCAAACGACACAGGAACGUACCUGAAAGGGUUCGGCUCUACGGAGCCUGUGUCGAGGUGCUGCAUGGUUGUCGUCAGCUCGUGCCGUGAGAUGUCGGCUUAAGUGCCAUAACGAGCGCAACCCCCAUCGACAGUUGCUAACAGGUCAGGCUGAGGACUCUGUCGAGACUGCCGGCGCAAGCUGCGAGGAAGGCGGGGAUGACGUCAAAUCAGCACGGCCCUUACGUCCGGGGCGACACACGUGUUACAAUGGCAGGUACAGCGGGAAGCCACCUGGCGACAGGGAGCGGAACCCGAAAGCCUGUCUCAGUUCGGAUUGGAGUCUGCAACCCGACUCCAUGAAGCUGGAUUCGCUAGUAAUCGCGCAUCAGCCACGGCGCGGUGAAUACGUUCCCGGGCCUUGUACACACCGCCCGUCAAGCCAUGGAAGCCGGGGGUGCCUGAAGUGCGCUGCCGCGAGGAGCGCCCUAGGGUAAAACCGGUGACUGGGGCUAAGUCGUAACAAGGUAACCGU
rnacentral:rRNA from 1 species